CUUUGCUAAUGGAGGGCGAGGCCCUUUUGGUGUGUGUGUGGGGGGGUGCAAGGCACAAGAGAGGGGGGUAGAGAGACAGGGCUCAGUUGGCAAGAGGAGCGCAGCAGUCUGAGCGAGCGUCAGCUGGUGCCACCAUAAAGACAAGUGACAGAAGGGCAGUGGGGGGCUGACGAGUCUGCGGGGGUCACCAAGGAGAAGGAGAGCAGGAGCUGCUGGCACUCCCACUGCUCGGGAGGACCCCCUGGACGGCAGACAGCCACAAGUGGUGCGGCAGGAGGAGGAGGAGGAGGAGGAGGACUGGACUUUUUCCUUAGCAGUCGUGACCUGAAGAAGAGCAGCCCAUCUGGAGCAGGAGAUGGCCGGCCAGGAGCCCGCAGUCAGCUUCAACAGUCGCCAAGAGUCUGUGUCCAUCCGGACUCCAGUGUCCAUCACGGGAAUGUCCACAGUGACGGGGGGGACGGAGACCUCCUGGACUGGCUGCUGCCUUGCUUUUGGAUUGGUGGGCUCCGUCAUCGGCAUCUGCACUCUGUCCGUGGGCCUAUGGGACCUGACAACGAACAUCCCUGACAAGACUCAAGAAUGGCCCUUGCUUCUCAUAUUAGGACUGGUCAUACUGGGCAGUGGACUGGUGCCGGUCCUGGCAUCGUGUGCCUGGCUCUGCCUGUGCAGAAAACAGAAGCGAAAGCUGGAUGAAGGAAGGCUAGUCCUGGUGUCCGAGGAAGAGGAGGUGAUGAAGAAAGUCACAGUCUAGCCAAGACCGUCCUGCUCGGAGACGAGGCUGGUGCGGCCAUCGUGGUCAGUCUGUGAUUGUUCACGACCUGAAGGCCAAAGCUGUGGGCUGAGCGCAAGGAGGGGCUGUGAGUGGCAGCUGGUGGUCUGAAGUCUCGGCAGAGGAAGACCACUUGAGGGACGUCCGGACAAAAGGGGCCUCCGCGCUCCGUGGUCUCCCUGACUCCUCCACUUAACUCUUUUCUUUCUUUGUUAUGUAGUGCCAUUCAAACAUGCACUCUGUUAUAUAGCGCCUUGCAUAGAGACCACCUUUACAAAGUGCCUUAGAAGUAUGGAUUGUCUGGCAACACUUAUAUAGUGUCUUUCAUAGUGAAUAGUAUUGCAAAAUAUAUAAGUAAUAAGUUCUUUUAUUCUUAAUUGUGUCUGUUAUAUACAGCAGUGCCUUUUAUACUUAAUGUGAUGCGACACUUUGAAGCUGUCAUGGUCUGCUAGGCUACAGACAGACUUUCUGAGUGGGAGCCGUUAGAGAGCGCCAUUAAAGGAGCCCUUAUCUGAUUCAGUUCAUCUGUUUGUUAUAUAGUGCCUUUCAUGAGCAUUGCAAAGGGCCUUAGAAAUGACAUUUACACAGCAACUUCCAAAGUUAGCACCGCUACAACUGUCAUGUAACGAAGCAGUUCUUUCUGUUGAUGCGUAUGUUAUAUAGUGCCUUUCAUUGUAAGAGAUGUACAGAGCUUGCUUUCUUUCUUUCUCUUUCUUUCUUUGUUAUAUAAUGCCAUUGAUAUUAAACUCUGUUACAAAGUGCUAUUACAAAUCUUCACUCUCUUAUAUAGCGCUUUACACAGUGACCACUAUUACAGGGCACCUUAAGAGUGUGCAUUUCUAGUGUAUAUGGUGUGCGGCAACUUCAACACUCCUAUGCUAUAUACAGUAGUGUCUUCGUUGGGAAUGUUAUUGCAAAAUAUGCAAGUGUUGGUUUCUUUCUUUUUUUUGCUUCGUUUUGUCUGUUAUGUAGUGCCUUUUAGAUUUAUCAUGGCCAAACACUUUAAAACAGUCAUGUCAUUCUGUGCUACAGAUCGCUUUCUAGAGUGAGUGCUGUUAUAAGAGUGGUGGCUCUGAGGCGUAGGGUCUGUGCGGGUAUCCAGAAGGUUAUCGGCUCGAAAAUCAAAGGCCCUCAACCUGCACCUCCUCCAGGGGUGUGCUGCACAAUGGCUGACCCCGAGGGCUAUUGAAAACUGACAAGAGUUUGUAUAAGGUGAAAUUAAGAACAGCAAAUAAGGUGCCAUUAAAGUUCAUCUUUCUGCUUCAAUUAACCUGUUGCUUAUAUAGCGCCUUUCAUAAACAGCAAUAUCACAAAGUGCUUUACAAGUAAGUUUAGUUCAUUUACACGGUGACUUCCAUAAGUCAGCACUGAUAACUGCUGUUUAACCGAGCAGUUCUUUCAUUCUUUUUUUCCUUUCUGUUAAUGUGUAUAUUAUAUAGUGCCUUUCCUAGUGAGAAAUGUACAGAGAUGUCCAUCGUCUCUUUCAAUAAAAGCAUUUGUGGUUUAGUAGCUUUAAUGGUAAAGAGAUUUACAAAACCUCAUAGUCUGCAUGGAGUCCAUGGUGUGCAUAGAUGAGGAAAUCCACGUUAUGUGUUUUUCAUUAUGAGAUUAAAAUAAAAAAGAUCUUUCCUUUA